rnacentral:ncRNA from 1 species
GGCCGGAUAAGGUGCUUGCGCCGCAUCCGGCAACCAACGCCUGAUGCGACGCUUGCGCGUCUUAUCAGGCC